AAAACUUGGAGCAGGGUUAUCGAUGGAGAAGAGGCGCUCCGCCUCAUCUGCUUGUUGGAUAAUGGCAUCGAUAUUGCUGACCUCUGUGACUGACUCCAAAACCUUCUUCUGCUGAGAUUUGUAGAAUCUACCUUUCUCCUUAGACUGCUGGAUCAUCUGGUUAUGUUGCUUCACAAGAGCCCGACCUAACCCCAUCUUGUCGUUCUUCCCCAUCGCCAAAUUCCAACACACAGACUAUUACAACUAUUUCUUCCAGCACCUAUGCUUUUAUUUCCUUAGGUAUUGAUAGACGGCACGUACCCCCGUAAGAACAAGAGAAUAGAAAAUCAGUGGAAAAUCGCCAGGA
rnacentral:misc_RNA from 1 species